rnacentral:lncRNA from 1 species
AAAUCUCUUCACCCCGGCUAGGUAAUCAAAUCGGACUAACCGCAAUGCGGAGCGUGCGUGCCGUCCGUAACGUCAAACUGAUUUCAGACUCGGCGGCAAGCAGAGCCCCGAUCCGAUCGAAGCCAUCCGUCUAUCUCAUACAGAUAGAUAGGUCACGACUCAGGGGCGCGUACUUAGCUAGACCUCGCUUAGCUUUGUUGGCUUGGUCCUCCGCCGCCGGCUUAGCUUGCUUGGUCGAUCAUGUCGCCGGUUGUUUGCCCCUGGCCAUUAGGCAGACCACCGUCACCACCCAGGAGGUGCCGGCAGCCUCAGAUCAAACAAGACCUCCUGCUGCACAGGAUGGAACAAGGCGAAGGCGGCGUAACUGAUGGUGAUUCUUCCACUGCCCGUGCAAGGUUCAGAGCCUUUUGGAGGAUCUUCAUAAGGGUACGUACCUAAGACGACGUACUGUUACUCAUAUACAGUAAUACAAUAUAUAUUUUUGAAUGAAAUUAAUUCGCCAUUAGUUCGGCCGAAAACUAAGGAAGUGAUCAGAUUUAGGAGGAUUGGAUGAGUUUAUGCUCUAAUGAUGGGGGGGGGGAUCAGGUGUUAAUGACGAGGCGAGAAAAGGAGCGGGGUUAAGAACAUCUACAGCCGGACAUUGCAAAUAUGACCUCCUAAAUGUGCGCGGACGCGUCUGGUUAGUGACCGGGCAUGUCCCAUAAUUGUCCGUCCGUGCAGCAAUAUAAUGUGUAUUGCUUUUUUGCAAAAGGUCAAGCUUCACAAAAUCUGAUUAAACUUGUGAAGAAAAUUAUCUAUAUCUAUAAUACUAAAUAUAUACUCCGAUUCAGGAUUUACUGCUAUUCUGUUUGGUAUUCUAGUUGUUAAUAUAUAUUUUUCUACAAGUUGAUUAAAAUUUAUAGAUUUCUACUUUAAAAAAUUCAACACACAACUACAUUUUAAGAAGGGAGGGGGUGUCUUCAAUUUGCUAACUGAUGUAUCUACUCACAACUAAGUUUUCCCUUCUUUUCUUUUCUUUUCAGUGUUUUACUCCGCUGGCGGCCGUGACUUUGGUGGUAUAUCUCUUUGUGGUGAGGCACAACCAUCUUGAUCCAGGAUUGCAGGAUCCUUGGCACAUGGCACUGAUUGUGUUUAUAGUUAUUUGCUUCGCGCCGACCGGGUACCUGUUGACCCAAGAUGACUAAAACUAUUAUAUUCCAUGCCGUGCAGUGUGUCGAUCUAGCUCAAUGUUUUUUUUAUAAUUUCUCAAUGUUCUCUUAGUCAAAAGUUCACCAGUUAAUGUGCAAGCCAGAAAGAUGUGUAUAUGAUUUUUAUUCCUUUCAAGUUUUUUUAUCAACCGGCAAAAGCACAACCCUUUCACAUGGAAGAAAAGAAGGUUAUCUGUAUGGAAGUGCCAAGUUUUUGAAAUGAACUUGCCCA